GUUAGAGUAGCAAAGGCCAUUAGAUGCAGCUGUAGUUUUAACCAUAAACGAUGACAUCUCAGGAUAUCAUUGAUGAUCAUGCUUGAUUGGUUGUUGGGGGGGUUAUACCCUUCGGCCUCCAAUUGCUAAUGUAGAUCUUGUUCAUUGAGUUUUUAAAACAGGGGUAACCCUGUUACUCGUAUUAGACCAGUGAUGCACUGUGUGGGAAACCAACAGCUGUCUUCGUGGAGUGUAUGUUAGCAAUGAUGAAAUUUAAAAGAAUUGACGGAAGUAUCACCACCAGGAUUGGAUCGUGCGGCUUAAUUUGACUCAACGCGGGAAAUUUUACCAGGUCAGGACACCAUGAGGAUUGACAAACUGCAGCUCUUUCAAGAUUUUGUGUUUGUUACAUGUAGUGCAUGGCCUUUGGGAAAUUCGUGGAUUG
rnacentral:rRNA from 1 species